UGACAGCUUUAGAAAUGGAUGGCUUCUUUUUCUCCCAAGAAUAGAUACAGCUUGAUAAACAGAGGUAUAAGAUUCCCCAACAACUUCGUCAGUAGGCCUUUACCCUGACAAAGCAAUGGCUGUAAUGGAGAAGAACAAGUCACCUUUUCCGCCAGUUCUCUGCGGACAUU
rnacentral:sRNA from 1 species